CUGGGGCCUCCGUGGCCGAGUGGUUAGAGUUGUUGACUUCAAACCAUUUGCCCCUCAUCGAUGUGGGUUCGAAACCUCAUUUGAGGCGUAGAAUUCUUCACGUGAGGAAGCCAUCCAGCUGGCUUACGGAAUGUCGGUGGUUCUACCCAGGUGCCCGCUCGUGAUGAAAUUAUGCACGGAGGGGCACCUGGGGUCUUCCUCCACCAUUAAAGCUGGAAAGUCGCCAUAUGACCUAAAAUUGUGUCGGUGCGACGUUAAACCCAACAAAAUAAAAUAAAUAAAUUGACAUUGACCUAGUGACCUAGUUUCACAUUUUUGAAGGUACAGGCUUUAAAUUUGGACCACAUGCUUAGAUUUGUGUUCUGAAGUGUAAUCUGACCUUGAUUUUGGCCUAGUGACCAACUUUCGCAUUUCUCAAGCUACAGCCUUCAAAUUUGGACCACUUGCAUAGUUUUGUGUACCGAAAUAAUCUUUGACCUGAAGAUUGACCUAGCGACCUACUUUGAAAUUCAAAUUUCUCAAACUAUAAAGCCUUCAGACCUGAUGCACAUGCAUAGUUUUAUGUACAAAGAACUUAGUCCUUGAAAUUGAUCUAGUAACCUACUUUCACAUUUCUCAAGCUACAGCUUUCGAAUUUGGACCACAUGCACAGUGUUGUGUACGGAAAUAAAAUUUGACCUUGAACUAGUCAUUAAGUCUUGAAAUUUGGAACACUCAAAAAUGGCACAUUGGUGGGCGCCAAGAUCACUCUGUGAUCUCUUGUUGGUCCAGUCCUUAUGAAAAUUGGCCAGAAUAUUUGUUUCCAUGAAAUAAAUAGGACAAACAUGUUUACACUGUUAUGAAAUGUUUCUCAGGCGAGCGACCAAGGACCAUCUUGGCCCUCUUGUUAAUUUUAUAGAUAAAGCAGCUGUCAAUUUAGAUAUUAUGCAUAAUUAAAUGGUUAGAAUGGCUCCUCUUUCAAUAUUGAAAAUGCUGAAUUGUUCAGCAUCAUUACCCUUAUCAUAUGACACAAGGUGCAUAACUCUGGGACCAAUUUUUCAUGAAUUAUUUCCCCUUUUUACUUAAAAUUUUAGGUUAAAGUUUUGAUGCACUUUCACUUUGUCUCUGUUAUUACUGAAUGGAUUUGAUUCAAACUUAAAAUAGUUGUUCAGCAUCAUCACCCACACUAACACUAUAUGACACAAGCUGCAUAACUCUGGCACCAAUAUUUAAUGAAUUAUGCCCCUUUUUGCUUAGGAUAUACUUAUAUAGUGUUUUGAUACAUUUUAUCUUUUCCUCUCUUAUUACUUUAAGUUGAUAUUUUUAACAUAGACUCAGGCUAUUGUGCAAUAUCUUCAUCCACGACUGGAGUCAUUAAACACUCCAGUGACAGCUCUAGUUUCCUCAGAUGUGCCCGUUUCACUAUCCAGCAUCGAAAUAGUCGAGCGCGUUGUCUCCUGUGACAGCUCUUGUUUGUUUGGUCAGUAGGUUAAAGAUGCGGGUCAUGGUGGCCGGAACCGGCUACCUAGUCACUGCCUCUUGAUAAUUUGUUAAAUAUUGUAUUCCAUAUAGUGACCUAAAUGUUUUGUACAUGUAUGCACGAUGUCUGUAUUAUAUUGUUUUAUCUGUUCAGGGAUUUAAAGGACAUUAAAAUAACAAACGCCGAUUUAAAUUAUUUCUUAAAUGACAAAAAAUUCAAGCAUUUUAGAAAUUUACUAAAUAAAUUUUCAUUAAAGGUAAAACGCUACCUUAAUGAUUGACUUGUCCUGCACAUUUAGCAGAGUCUUAGCUUAAAUUUAAGGUCAUACAUGUACUUGCAGGUCAAAGGUUUAUAUUAUCUGUUUUGUAUCUGCUUUCUUCUCUUCCUGUGACGUUGUACUAUAUAUAAUAUUUCAGCAGAUUUACUUCCCUUUGAAAAGACUGGACUUACUAAAAAAGAUGUUUGGUCGUAUUAUAAAUAUUAAAACACGAGUUUUUUUUAAUUUUUGGUUUUGUAGUUGUUAUUGUUCUUAUUUCUCUACUAUUUUAAA